rnacentral:rRNA from 1 species
GGUAGUCCACGCCGUAAACGAUGGAUACUAGCUGUGGGGGGUAUCGACCCCUUCCGUAGCGAAGCUAACGCGUUAAGUAUCCCACCUGUGGAGUACGGUCGCAAGACUAAAACAUAAAGGAAUUGACGGGGACCCGCACAAGCGGUGGAGCGUGUUCUUUAAUUCGAUGAUAAACGAAGAACCUUACCAGGGUUUGACAUCCUUUGAAUUUCUGCGAAAGCAGAGAGUGCUUUAUUGAACAAAGUGACAGGUGAUGCAUGGCCGUCGUCAGCUCGUGUCGUGAGAUGUUUGGUUAAG